GACGAACGCUGGCGGCGUGCCUAAUACAUGCAAGUCGAACGCUGAAGGAGGAGCUUGCUUCUCUGGAUGAGUUGCGAACGGGUGAGUAACGCGUAGGUAACCUGCCUGGUAGCGGGGGAUAACUAUUGGAAACGAUAGCUAAUACCGCAUAAUAGUAGAUGUUGCAUGACAUUUACUUAAAAGGUGCAAUUGCAUCACUACCAGAUGGACCUGCGUUGUAUUAGCUAGUUGGUGGGGUAACGGCUCACCAAGGCGACGAUACAUAGCCGACCUGAGAGGGGGAUCGGCCACACUGGGACUGAGACACGGCCCAGACUCCUACGGGAGGCAGCAGUAGGGAAUCUUCGGCAAUGGACGAAAGUCUGACCGAGCAACGCCGCGUGAGUGAAGAAGGUUUUCGGAUCGUAAAGCUCUGUUGUAAGAGAAGAACGAGUGUGAGAGUGGAAAGUUCACACUGUGACGGUAUCUUACCAGAAAGGGACGGCUAACUACGUG
rnacentral:rRNA from 1 species